CAAGUUCUCCUUGUUCAGAACCUGUAGAAUAGAUAAGAGUUUGAUUCAGCUCCUGUGGAAUCUGAUCUUAAUCUUUGUCUUUUACAGCUAGAAUGAAAACCCAGAAGCUGAGGCCAGUGAACUCUAAUGUGGGCAUAUGCUGGACCUCAGCAGUCAUGUGACCUACCUUCCAGCAGAAGUCCUCAGAGUCUAGCGUGUGGAUGGAAGCAGAGCAGAGGUUAGUGACAGACAGAUGGGUUAAAUGGGAAGCCAUGCAGCACGUUUGGUCAAACACAUGCAGGUUGGGAGCUUGUAGAACCUUAUGGUGCAAUGUUUCAAUGUCUGGGUUAAUGUAUGCACAGUUCUAAACUAAAUAAGACAAAAAAACAGACUGUUUUGUGCUUUAAUACUGAGAUGUUCAAGGCCCUAAAACUAAUAGUAUUUUAAACAGUGUGAUGAAAUAGGUGUAUCAUCAGACUUGUUCUUAAAAAAAAGUGGAGGGUCAGGCGUCACUGGUUAAUUUGUAUUUAUUCCCUGUUCUUUGUAUCUGAUAACAGGCUGUUUAGAGGCUAAAGGUGGAUUUAUUUAUAUGGAUUCUGACAAUACUAACCGCAUUAAAAUGUAAAAAAUUAACACAUCUUUGAUUUCUAAAAGUCUGACACUAAUUGCACGAACUGUGAGCAAGUAGAAAAAAAAACAAGUUUGAGGUUUACCCAUCAUGCCUAUCUCAAUUGUGUGCUGAUGUUUGUGUGUUUUACCUCGUGCUGUCAGGAAGAGCGAGCUGUUCAGGUAAUGUGACGCCAGACGUUUACGCUGGAGUUCGAACAUGCCGCUGUACGCUGGGUUUGCUGUGCUUCGUCUCUUCCUCUCCUGUCUCUUCGUCUGGAUUUCU